rnacentral:rRNA from 1 species
CCUACGGGAGGCUGCAGUCGAGAAUCAUUCACAAUGGGGGAAACCCUGAUGGUGCGACGCCGCGUGGGGGAAUGAAGGUCUUCGGAUUGUAAACCCCUGUCAUGUGGGAGCAAAUUAAAAAGAUAGUACCACAAGAGGAAGAGACGGCUAACUCUGUGCCAGCAGCCGCGGUAAUACAGAGGUCUCAAGCGUUGUUCGGAAUCACUGGGCGUAAAGCGUGCGUAGGCUGUUUCGUAAGUCGUGUGUGAAAGGUGCGGGCUCAACCCGCGGACGGCACAUGAUACUGCGAGACUAGAGUAAUGGAGUGGGAACCGGAAUUCUCGGUGUAGCAGUGAAAUGCGUAGAUAUCGGGAGGAACACUCGUGGCGAAGGCGGGUUCCUGGACAUUAACUGACGCUGAGGCACGAAGGCCAGGGGAGCGAAAGGGAUUAGAUACCCGGGUAGUC